CAGUAAAGAAUUCCGCAACAGUCUGUUUCAUCAGUAAAGUACCGCCUGAUGAUUCUUUACUGAUGAAACAGACUGUUGCGGAAUUU
rnacentral:miRNA from 1 species